CUGGUGCCAGCAGCCGCGGUAAUUCCAGCUCCAAUAGCGUAUAUUAAAGUUGUUGCAGUUAAAAAGCUCGUAGUUGAAUUUCGGGAUUGACGUGACGGUCAUGCCUUAAGGGGUAUGAACUGUUACUGUUGAUUUCUCACCUUCUGGAGAAACUUGAUGUCCUUUAUUGGGUGUCUUGCGGAUCCAGGACCUUUACCUUGAAAAAAUUAGAGUGUUUAAAGCAGGCAUUUUUGCUCGAAUACAUUAGCAUGGAAUAAUAGAAUAGGACGGCAUGGUUCUAUUUUGUUGGUUUCUAGGAUCACCGUAAUGAUUAAUAGGGAUAGUUGGGGGCAUUAGUAUUCAAUUGUCAGAGGUGAAAUUCUUGGAUUUAUUGAAGACUAACUACUGCGAAAGCAUUUGCCAAGGAUGUUUUCAUUAAUCAAGAACGAAAGUUAGGGGAUCGAAGACGAUCAGAUACCGUCGUAGUCUUAACCAUAAACUAUGCCGACUAGGAAUCAGACGAUG
rnacentral:rRNA from 1 species